UAUGCAUCAUCCUAUUAAACAGUAAGUUAAUGCCUGCUGUUCUUCCUUAGAUGUCAAUUUUCAAUAUGUAAAGAUGAGCUGCUGAGCAUAAAAUUUCAGUCAUGUUCUUGUUUCAGGCAGUAAUAAGUCUGUGAACUGAGAAUUAAUUUAAGAGGUCUUCUUUUUUGCCUUCACAUUGACUCCAGUAUGAAGGGAAGAAAAAUCUAGAAAUAUGGCAGAUGGACAAGUUGGGAUGUUCAAAGUACUCUAGGAAUUAUUCUUGUUUUACCAUCUAUUUGAAAGGAGCCCAGGAAACCAACAAAAUGAAAAGCGUAACUGUGGAAUGGAUACAAGCCACAUAUUCAGUAAGUAGUUGAUAUAAAAAACAUAUAAUGAAUUCAUAGAACUCAAAAAAAAAAAAAAAAAAAAACACCAGAUAACAAAAAAUGGGCUAAGGACC